rnacentral:rRNA from 1 species
GAUGAACGCUGGCGGCGUGCCUAAUACAUGCAAGUCGAGCGAACAGACGAGGAGCUUGCUCCUCUGACGUUAGCGGCGGACGGGUGAGUAACACGUGGAUAACCUACCUAUAAGACUGGGAUAACUUCGGGAAACCGGAGCUAAUACCGGAUAAUAUAUUGAACCGCAUGGUUCAAUAGGGAAAGACGGUUUUGCUGUCACUUAUAGAUGGAUCCGCGCUGCAUUAGCUAGUUGGUAAGGUAACGGCUUACCAAGGCAACGAUGCGUAGCCGACCUGAGAGGGUGACCGGCCACACUGGAACUGAGACACGGUCCAGACUCCUACGGGAGGCAGCAGUAGGGAAUCUUCCGCAAUGGGCGAAAGCCUGACGCAGCAACGCCGCGUGAGUGAUGAAGGUCUUCGGAUCGUAAAACUCUGUUAUUAGGGAAGAACAAAUGUGUAAGUAACUAUGCACGUCUUGACGGUACCUAAUCAGAAAGCCACGGCUAACUACGUG